rnacentral:rRNA from 1 species
UACAGAGGUCUCAAGCGUUGUUCGGAUUCAUUGGGCGUAAAGGGUGCGUAGGCGGCGCGGUAAGUCGGGUGUGAAAUCUCGGAGCUUAACUCCGAAACUGCAUUCGAUACUGCCGUGCUUGAGGACUGGGGAGGAGACUGGAAUUUACGGUGUAGCGGUGAAAUGCGUAGAUAUCGUAAGGAAGACCAGUGGCGAAGGCGGGUCUCUGGACAGUUCCUGACGCUGAGGCACGAAGGCCAGGGGAGCAAACGGG